rnacentral:rRNA from 1 species
GAGUUUGAUCCUGGCUCAGGAUGAACGCUGGCGGCGUGCCUAAUACAUGCAAGUCGAGCGAACGGACGAGAAGCUUGCUUCUCUGAUGUUAGCGGCGGACGGGUGAGUAACACGUGGAUAACCUACCUAUAAGACUGGGAUAACUUCGGGAAACCGGAGCUAAUACCGGAUAAUAUUUUGAACCGCAUGGUUCAAAAGUGAAAGACGGUCUUGCUGUCACUUAUAGAUGGAUCCGCGCUGCAUUAGCUAGUUGGUAAGGUAACGGCUUACCAAGGCAACGAUGCAUAGCCGACCUGAGAGGGUGAUCGGCCACACUGGAACUGAGACACGGUCCAGACUCCUACGGGAGGCAGCAGUAGGGAAUCUUCCGCAAUGGGCGAAAGCCUGACGGAGCAACGCCGCGUGAGUGAUGAAGGUCUUCGGAUCGUAAAACUCUGUUAUUAGGGAAGAACAUAUGUGUAAGUAACUGUGCACAUCUUGACGGUACCUAAUCAGAAAGCCACGGCUAACUACGUCG